CAGUAGCCGCGGUAAUACGAAGGGUGCAAGCGUUACUCGGAAUUACUGGGCGUAAAGCGUGCGUAGGCGGCUUCUUAAGUCGGAUGUGAAAUCCCUGAGCUUAACUUAGGAAUUGCAUUCGAUACUGGGAAGCUAGAGUAUGGGAGAGGAUGGUAGAAUUCCAGGUGUAGCGGUGAAAUGCGUAGAGAUCUGGAGGAAUACCGAUGGCGAAGGCAGCCAUCUGGCCUAAUACUGACGCUGAGGUACGAAAGCAUGGGGAGCAAACAGGAUUAGAUACCCCUGUAGUCCCUGUCUCUUAUAC
rnacentral:rRNA from 1 species